AAGGAUAUAGCUCAGUGGUAGAGUGCGUGUGUCGUGUGCAUGAGGUCCUGGGUUCAAUCCCCAGUGCCUCUG
rnacentral:tRNA from 1 species